UUGCAAGGCAAGGGAGUGCUUUUUAGGAGAUAACAAGAGAAGUCCCCAGAGACCCAAUUCUUUACUGAUUUGGAGACCAGGAACUGAGCUGUGUGGACCUCAGGAAGUCCCAAUGCAGAAAUUAUUAGGAUAUUGAAUGAAGAGUUGAGAAUUUAUGAAAACCUUAUGUGAAUUGCUCGUCUUCCCUACUGCAUGUCGGCCACCCUGCUGUGUGAGAUGUGACUUAUGCUCUCUGCUUCCGUUUUAUAAACAGAAGAGAGCUGGAAAAUGAUUCAGUAAAGAUAUUGUUGGUGGGAGAGCAGUGAUUGGGGUUGGAUCUCUGCUGGUCUUGGCAAAUUAAUCUUUGCCUGCAUGGUUUUUUCUUUUAUGCCAAACAAAAUGGUCUCUUCAUUGUUGAAAGGGCUGGUAAAUGCCAAGAGAAUUCUCCUGCUGUAAACGACAUUUUUGCUCUACCACUUCUUUUCAUCCAACUGAGGUGCAGGAGAGGACAUAAGCUGGCAUUUACAUCCUCGGAUGAGUCAUCAGAUUACGAAAGAUCUUCCAAGCAGCUGCUCAUGUGAAGUCACAGUCACAAAGAAUUGGAUUAGAGUCGAUUGUAUGGUUUCAGGAUGAGAAAACAACUUGCUGGUUUAAUUCAAUUUCUCCCCCUUCCCCUCGUUUAUCAUUAAGUUUUAUCACAAGUCCCUCAAAAUGGGGGUAGGACCACAUUUAAUCUUUCAGCUGAGCAUUUCUUUACAAUUCCUUCAAGCCUUAACAAUUUCCCAUUAUGUCAUUCAUACCAAGAUAAAUGAAGGCGGAUAACAAGCCAACUGGGUCUGAGGCGUCCAGGAGGUGACAGGGGUGGGAAGAGAGAUGGAAACGAAUAAUGUUGAACGCAAAGACUAACCUAUGGGCCUUGUCUCAGAUUUAACAACCAGUCACUAUGAUUUACAAUCCAAGAUCUCAUUCUUUGCAUCUUAUAUCCCCGAGACAUGAAGAAUGGAAGGAAUGAAAGUGUCACCUAUUUCUUACACGGAUGACUUAUAGGUUUUUAAGGAGGUUCUCUUGGACAUCAGAGCAAGUUGCCCUUGACGGAUGACUUUGCUACUGUAUUUGAUUUCAAGUUCCCACCAAGGAGUGCCAAACAAAAUCUGUUACGUUUUAAAUCGUCAUGUAAUUUCUGCCCCCUUCCCUCUGCUCCACCACAUGUCCAACCAACAAAUAAAUCAUGCCAAAGUCUUAACCACAUGCUUUAAAAUGAAACAAGCACAAGGGACAUUUUUCAAGCUCACAUCUGGAACCAUUGUUUGGGAAGAAGUCUACCAGGUAGUGUUCUAUUUUUUUUUUUU
ensembl:lncRNA